rnacentral:rRNA from 1 species
UGCCAGCCGCCGCGGUAAUACGUAGGUCCCAAGCGUUAUCCGGAAUUAUUGGGCGUAAAGGGUCCGUAGACGGGAUGUUAAGUCUGGUGUGAAAUACAAUGGCUCAACCAUUGAACUGCAUCAGAUACUGGCAACCUAGAGUAUGUUAGAGGAUAGUGGAAUUCCAUAUGUAGCGGUGGAAUGCGUAGAUAUAUGGAGGAACACCAGUGGCGAAGGCGGCUAUCUGGGACAUUACUGACGUUGAGGGACGAAAGCGUGGGGAGCAAACAGGAUUAGAUA